rnacentral:tRNA from 1 species
GCCGGCAUAGCUCAGUUGGUAGAGCAGCGGUUUUGUAAACCGAAGGUCGGGGGUUCAAGUCCCUCUGCCGGCA